CCUGAGGGCGAGGCGGGCAGCAGGAAAAAAAAAAAAAAAAACAGGAAAACAACAAAGGCGGUGAGUCCACCGGCACGAAGACCUACAGCUUUUGGUGCCCCUCCCCCCAGCAUUUACAGUAAGAACGGCCAGUAUUCGUUAAGUGGGGAGUAUGGACGCCACCUCCAAAUCCUCCGGACAGCUAUGGACACGGGGGGGGGGAACACAGGAACUAUGUGCUCGCCUUUACAGUAACUCAGAGAAGUUGAGUGCCCACCGGGUCUAGGGCUAACAAGCAAAGAAGGCAGAACUCCAACCCAGGACUGCCUGCGGCCAAGGCCGCCGUCUGAAACCCACACCUCUGCUAAGAACCCCCCAGGCGGGCGCCUUCAGAAGAGGCACUGUCCGGGCAAGAGGCUCCCCGAAGCCCCAUCCGUGGCUGCACCAGAGCCUCCUGAGAAGUCCCGACGCCAGGACCCCACUCCCGGGAAUUCUGAUUGCGAGCGGAGGACCCGUGAGGCACGCCGCCUCCGAACCACACCUGUGCCUCCCUGAGACCCUUGAAAAGAAAAAAAAACCCUAUUCCUUGAGUUAUUCCAAGUACACAAGCGAGAAGCACACACGUUAACAAAUUCACCUAAAGAAGGAACAGGUCUGUGGCCCCGGCAGCCGCUCCGGAGCCCACGUUCCUGAGUUCACACUCAGCUCGGCGGCCGCUCACAAUUCAGGGGCCUGAGGCGUGUUUCCUAAGCUCUGGGAACUCUGGAAUAGUACGGAUAACCUCUGGACGGAUAACCUCCGGUAACAAUGGAAUAGCACGGAACCUAUCUCCCAAGGAGAAGCGGUGAAGUAACACGGUCCACCCGGCACACAAUGUCCUUUAUGGUGUAGGGUAUCCAGACAGGCUUAUGGAGGAAAAAAAAAAAGAAGACAAAAGUCCUGAAAACACCCGGAAAUACAAUGUAAUCUGUGCUGUUGUAUGCAGAUCGCAUGCAAAUGAAUGCAAAUGAACCUGUAAUCCUGCUAUUUUCUGUAUCUAUAAAGACAGAGCCCCAAGGGAAAACUCCAAGUGUUGCUCUGAAUCCCCAACGUUGAGGGGAAGAAAGAGAACAGACUCCUGGCUCAUUUAUUUAGUGUCUCUACCUUUUUUGGUCUAUAAUAAUAAGUAUAUAUACAUUUUGAAUAAUAUAAAUUAUACGCUCUA